CUUGACUAAUUAUAAGAGGUCCAGCCUGCCCAGUGACACUGUUCAACGGCCGCGGUAUCCUAACCGUGCGAAGGUAGCGUAAUCACUUGUUCUUUAAAUGAGGACUAGUAUGAAUGGCACCACGAGGGUUAUACUGUCUCCUUUCUUUAAUCAGUGAGACUAAUCUCCCCGUGAAGAAGCGGGGAUAAUUUUAUAAGACGAGAAGACCCUAUGGAGCUUUAAACAAGUAAUAAUUGCCUUUAUUAAUUUUUAAUCUACGGAAAUUUACCCUCUUAUCCAGGCACUCUAAUUACACGUUUUAGGUUGGGGUGACCGCGGAGCAUAAAAUAACCUCCAUAGUGAACGGGUAUUAUUCCCUAAACCCAGGGCUACAACCCUAAGCAUCAAUAAAUUGACACCCAUUGACCCAAUAUCUUGAUCAAUGAAC
rnacentral:rRNA from 1 species